AGUAGAUUGGGAAACUCGUCAAUUUUACGUGAAAUACCGAGACAAGUCUGCCGACCAAUGGCGGGCCUCAGCGACAGCUCCGGCUGUCGUAGCCUCUGAGCCGGAGGAUUACAAAGGGCGGCAGGCUCUCAAAUCCUGUCUUUUCGGAGUUUCAUCGCAUCCUUUGAUGUGGCAUUUA
rnacentral:sRNA from 1 species